AUUGAACGCUGGCGGCAUGCCUUACACAUGCAAGUCGAACGGUAACAGGUCUUCGGAUGCUGACGAGUGGCGAACGGGUGAGUAAUACAUCGGAACGUGGCUAGUAGUGGGGGAUAACUACUCGAAAGAGUGGCUAAUACCGCAUGAGAUCUACGGAUGAAAGCAGGGGAUCGCAAGACCUUGUGCUACUAGAGCGGCCGAUGGCAGAUUAGGUAGUUGGUGGGAUAAAAGCUUACCAAGCCGACGAUCUGUAGCUGGUCUGAGAGGACGAUCAGCCACACUGGGACUGAGACACGGCCCAGACUCCUACGGGAGGCAGCAGUGGGGAAUUUUGGACAAUGGGCGCAAGCCUGAUCCAGCAAUGCCGCGUGCAGGAUGAAGGCCUUCGGGUUGUAAACUGCUUUUGUACGGAACGAAAAGCCCUAGGUUAAUACCCUGGGGUCAUGACGGUACUGUAAGAAUAAGCACCGGCUAACUACGUGCCAGCAGCAGCCGCGGUAA
rnacentral:rRNA from 1 species